rnacentral:tRNA from 1 species
GGCCGGUGGGGGGCACGGGCUCCGCCCGGGUCCGUGCCCCGCGGGUUCCGUACGGGCCGCGCGCGGUUCAGUUCUUCGGCGGGUCG